rnacentral:lncRNA from 1 species
GAAGACUAUAUAAACACAUAUUCAUAUCCUAAAAAAAACAAAAAACACAUCAUAUGUCCCUCAAAAUAAAAAAGACACGUAUCAUAUGAUAAUGUUGAAGGACUUGUAAAUGUAUUCAAAAGGUGGUAAGUUGCGUAUUUUUGGAAUUAUAUUGAUCUUGACGUCCUUGAUUGUUACAUCUGGUUUGAGGUCUUUUUCUUUUAAUAAGUUAAAAUAUAUUAAUUAAACCAAAUUUUACCAAAGAAGUCGCAAGGCAAAAAAAAGACGAUCAAUAUCUUCCUGAAAACCAAAGCCUGUGUUUGGGUGAAGCACCUUUCUCUUGAUUAAAUUAAUUAUAUGUCGUUAGUAUGUGAUUACAUAAUGCUAAAUGGUGUUUGUGUGAUCGGUGUUGAUAGGUUGAACCAUCAAUAUCUAGUUUGAGGUCUUAUUUAAUGUGUACAAAUAAAUUGCUUUGGUUUCAACCUUUAAUUGUUCCUUACAGGUAGGGUUGGGAAUAGGCCAGGUCCGCCUACAAGGGCCUAUGGCCUGGCCUGUUUAAGCCUGGUCUGGCCUGGCCUGUUUAUUAAAAAGGCUAGGCUUAGGCUUUUUAAAAAGCCUAUUUAAGUAAAUAGGCCAGGCUUAGACUAUCAAAAAAGCCUAUGAAGCCUAAUAGGCCGGCCUGUUUAUGCAUGUUAGGCUUCAUAGUGGACUUUUUUAAUAGGCUUUAAAGCUUUAUAGUGAAAUAGGCUUUUAAGGCCUUAUAGUAGUGAUAGACAAGUCCUACACUGAAAUAGGCUUGGAGGCCUAUUAAGCCUAUUUAAAAGUAGCUAAAAUGGAAUGUUUAGUGACUUUAAUAGUAAGUAGGCCUGUAAAUAGGCUUUCAGGCCAGACCAGACUUUUAAAUAGGCCAGACCAGGCCAAAAAAAUAGGCCUAUGAAAGGCCAUAGGCCAGGCUCAGGCCUGCAAAAUUUUUGUAGGCCAGGCUCAGGCCUAUCAAAGUCUGGCCUGGCCUAGCCUAUUCCCAACCCUACUUACAGGUUUGUGACUUCUCGCUUAUCACAAAUUCACAAUUGAAUGGUUUAUUUAAAUAUAAUUAUCUCGUGAUCUCUAAACUGAUUAAUUCUUGGUCAUAUGCAUGACGUUGCUGGUGGUUAAUUUUGAUACUCGGGUUGACACUAUUUUGUAAAGCAAAUUGUCAUGGAGAAUGAUUAAAAAAAUAUAUUGCUUAAAGAUUAGUGAAAAUAUACCCGAGUGUCACUGGAUAGCUCAAAGGUCAGGUUAUUUUUCUUUUAUAAUUAAAAAUAAUAUUAACUAUUUGGGUUUCAAUAUUUAUAUGCAUCAACAAAAUUUCUUUUGGGAUUGUCGAAAAAAACUCUUUUGAAUUUUCAAACAUAAUUUUUUAAAAAAUAGAAAACAAAUGAAAAUAAAAAUUAUUGUAAUUAUUGAUAAAAACAUGAAUCGUUUCAAAUACUUGAAAAUUAUUGUAAUUAUUCACAUUUUUAUUAUGUUCCAUGUUAUAGUUUUUUCUUUAACAAUUGUUAUGUUCGUUUUGUUAAGAUUUGUUAGGGGAUUCCAAUUGGGGGUCGAGUGCAACAACAAGCCUAGGAUCAACAAGAGACUCAGACACUACAUUUUCAUAAAAAAAUCAUAAGAUAUCGAGUAUAUGGAUGACAUACAUACUGUUAUUUACAUUUAAAAAUAAUUAAGUUGUUAACCGAGAACGACGAGCAAUCAAAUUUAGAGUUAGUUGAAUUUCCUUUACACAAAUAAAUAAUAGUUGAAUCAAUAUCAGAAGCAGUCAAGGACAUACAUAUGUGAGAUUUGAUUGGAAAUAUCUAUAGAUAGGUUAAUCUUGUUUAUUUUUUUAUUUUUUAAGGAAGAUAGCUUAAUCUUGUUGAAACUUCCUUUAGUAGUCAUUUGCCUAGAGGCUGGCUUCUAACAAAAAUGCUCUUUCCACAUCACUUUGUUGAAUAGCAUAUAAAAC